rnacentral:rRNA from 1 species
GAUGAACGCUGGCGGCGCGCUUAACACAUGCAAGUCGAGCGAAUCGGCGGACGGGUGAGUACCACGUGAGUAACCUGCCUUAGACAUUGGGAUAGCCUCGGGACACCGGGAUUAAUAACAAAUGGUCUAAGAUGAGCUCGCGUCCCAUUAGCUAGUUGGUGGGUAACGGCCCCCCAAGGCGACGAUGGGUAGCCGGCUUGGGAGGGUGAAAGUCCACAUUGGAACUGAGAAACGGUCCAAACUCUACGGAAGGCAGCAGUGGGGAAUAUUGCACAAUGUAGGGAACUCUGAUGCAUCGACGCCGGGUGAACGAAGAAGGCUUUCGAGUCGUAAAGUUCUUUUAUAUGGGAAGCGGUACCAUAAGAAAAAGCCCCGGCUAACUACGUGCCAGCAGCCGCGGUAAUAC